rnacentral:lncRNA from 1 species
AUUAUUCUCUGCCCCACCUUAGAAGUAUUAAGUGAAAGCCAUCAGGCAAAGGUUAUAAUUAGAGAUUGAAAAAUGCUGACCAGGGAGCUCAGGGGGCCUUUCCCAACACUCCCAGGAGCUUGCUGCAUUUCACAAGGCUGUGCGAAGAGCAGAAAGCCGAGGAGACUGGCAAGUCUCUAAGAAAUUCAAGCCGUGAACUGCCAGGCAUAUGUGACCGCAGCUCUUCCACGUGGCUGGCUGGGAGAGGCCACCUUCAUUUGGUAUCUACUCAGCAGAGCAAAUGUCCUAAAGAACAAGAAGUCCAAGAUCAAGGCCAGCAGGCAAGUCUGGGGCAGGGCGGCUCCUCCUGGAAGGCAGAAGGGGGGGGGGACUCCUCACACAGCGGGGGGCAGAAGGGCACAAAUCCCAUUCAUGAAGGCAGAGUCCUCAUCACUCAGCUGGAUCACCACCUCUUGAUGCUGCUGCACUAGGAGCACAGUUGUGCAGUUUCGGUGUGAAUUUUGAAGGAGGCACAAAGAUUGAAACCAUAGCAACAGUUUCAUUUACAGCACCGUGCAAGACAGAUGCCACGUGAUCUUGCGUGUUUCUUUAGCCCUGAAAACUUGGCACUCUCCUUCAGCAUAAAUCCUCACCAACCUUCUUGAAAUGAAGGAUCGAAAUCAAGCAAGGACUAGGAGAACCAACCUUCAGAUGAGGAAACUGAGGGAGAGAAGCAUGGAAGCAGUGAGUGGUGAGCCCCGAAUAUGAACCCAGGCGGCCUGGCUCCUGAGCCUGAGCUCUGGGCAGCUUAUCAAGGGGACUUGGCAUCAUAGUUAACCACAGUUACUCAAAUCUCAGGCCAGCACAGUCUCAGAUUCCAUCCCCUUCCAAGAGUAAGACACCUUGAAAUCCACAUUUUUUUCCUGUGAUACAAAGGGUUUUUCUGUGUCUCCUUGCAUCUAGCGGAAAGAGAACACUUUCCCUUUUAGCUGUAGACUCUCAAUUUCUGCAGUCCCUGCCAUUUGUCCUUUCUAUGACAGCUCUGCUCCCGUCCCUGAGAGCAGCUUCCUGGCACCCGCCCCAGAGCUUUCCAACAACCCCUAUUGGGCAAAACUCAUCACCCCACUCUCCUAACUGUACAGUUUGAUCAAAUGAUCAGUUUGGUGCCAAGCCUGCUGUUGAC